UACAGAGGGUGCAAGCGUUGUCCGGAAUCACUGGGCGUAAAGGGCGCGUAGGUGGCCUGAUAAGUAGGAGGUGAAAUCCUGGGGCUUAACCUCAGGGCUGCCUUCUAGACUGUCCGGCUCGAGCACAGUAGAGGCAGGUGGAAUUCCCGGUGUAGCGGGUGGAAUGCGUAGAGAGUCGGGAAGAACACCCGUGGCGAAGGCGACGUGCUGGGCUGCACCUGACGCUGAGGUGCGAAAGUGUGGGGAGCAAACAGG
rnacentral:rRNA from 1 species